GAUGAACGCUGGCGGCGUGCCUAAUACAUGCAAGUCGAGCGGAAGGACGCGGAGCUUGCUUCUCUCAUGUUAGCGGAGGACGGGUGAGUCACACGAGUAUAACCUCCCUAACAGACUGGGAUAACUUCGGGACACCGUCGCUAAUACCGGAUAAUCUUUUGAACCGCAUGGUUCAAAAGAGAAAGACGGUCUUGCUGUAACUUAUAGAUGGAUCCGCGCUGCAUUGGCUGGUUGGGAGGGUAACGGCUUACCACGGCAACUAUGCAUGAGCGACCUGAUGGGGGGAUCGGCCACACGGGAACUGAGACGCGGUCCAGACGCCUACGGUAGGCAGCAGUAGGGAAUCGUCCGCAAUGGGCGAGAGCCUUACGGAGCAACGCCGCGUGAGUUGUGACGGCCUUCGGAUCGGAAUACUCUGUUAUUAGGUAAGAACAGAUGUGUAAUUAACUGAGCACAGCGUGACGGUACCUAAUCAGAAAGCCACGGCUAACUACGUG
rnacentral:rRNA from 1 species